rnacentral:hammerhead_ribozyme from 1 species
GGUCUGCUGACGAGUCCCAAACAGGACGAAAUAGCUGUCCAGUGU